CCUACGGGAGGCAGCAGUGAGGAAUAUUGGUCAAUGGACGAGAGUCUGAACCAGCCAAGCAGCGUGAAGGAUGACUGCCCUAUGGGUUGUAAACUUCUUUUAUAUGGGAAUAAAAUGUGCCACGUGUGGGAGUUUGUAUGUACCAUAUGAAAAAGGAUCGGCUAACGCCGUGCCAGCAGCCGCGUUAAUACGGAGGAUCCGAGCGUUAUCCGGAUUUAUUGGGUUUAAAGGGAGCGUAGGUGGAUUGUUAAGUCAGUUGUGAAAGUUUGCGGCUCAACCGUAAAAUUGCAGUUGAAACUGGCAGUCUUGAGUACAGUAGAGGUGGGCGGAAUGCGUGGUGUAGCGGUGAAAUGCUUAGAUAUCACGAAGAACUCCGAUUGCGAAGGCAGCUCACUGGACUGCAACUGACACUGAGGCUCGAAAGUGUGGGUAUCAAACAGGAUUAGAUACCCUUGUAGUC
rnacentral:rRNA from 1 species